AACCUCCGCAAUGUGAGAAAUCGCGACGGGGGGAUCCCAAGUGCCAUUCUUAACGGGAUGGCUUUUCAUUAGUGUAAAGAGCUUUUGGAAUAAGAGCUGGGCAAGACCGGUGCCAGCCGCCGCGGUAACACCGGCAGCUCUAGUGGUAACAAUUUUUAUUGGGCCUAAAGCGUCCGUAGCCGGUUUAAUAAGUCUCUGGUGAAAUCCUGCAGCUUAACUGUGGGAAUUGCUGGAGAUACUAUUAGACUUGAGACCGGGAGAGGUUAGAGGUACUCCCAGGGUAGAGGUGAAAUUCUGUAAUCCUGGGAGGACCACCUGUGGCGAAGGCGGCUAACUGGAACGAACCUGACGGUGAGGGACGAAAGCUAGGGGCGCGAACCGGAUUAGAUACCCGGGUAGUCCUAGCCGUAAACGAUGCGACUUGGUGUUGGGGUGGCUUUGAGCUGUUUCGGUGCCGUAGGGAAGCUGUUAAGUCCGCCGCCUGGGAAGUACGGUCGCAAGACUGAAACUUAAAGGAAUU
rnacentral:rRNA from 1 species